UUGUCAUGCCAAUGGCACUGCCCGGUAGCUAAAUGCGGAAGAGAUAAGUGCUGAAAGCAUCUAAGCACGAAACUUGCCCCGAGAUGAGUUCUCCCUGACCCUUUAAGGGUCCUGAAGGAACGUUGAAGACGACGACGUUGAUAGGCCGGGUGUGUAAGCGCAGCGAUGCGUUGAGCUAACCGGUACUAAUGAACCGUGAGGCUUAACCUU
rnacentral:rRNA from 2 species